rnacentral:rRNA from 1 species
UACGUAGGGUGCAAGCGUUGUCCGGAAUUAUUGGGCGUAAAGAGCUCGUAGGCGGUUUGUCGCGUCUGCUGUGAAAACUCGGGGCUUAACCCCGGGCCUGCAGUGGGUACGGGCAGACUAGAGUGCGGUAGGGGAGACUGGAAUUCCUGGUGUAGCGGUGGAAUGCGCAGAUAUCAGGAGGAACACCGGUGGCGAAGGCGGGUCUCUGGGCAGUAACUGACGCUGGAGGAGCGAAAGCGUGGGGAGCGAACAGG